GACGAACGCUGGCGGCGUGCUUAACACAUGCAAGUCGAACGGAAAGGCCCUGCUUUUGUGGGGUGCUCGAGUGGCGAACGGGUGAGUAACACGUGAGUAACCUGCCCUUGACUUUGGGAUAACUUCAGGAAACUGGGGCUAAUACCGGAUAGGAGCUCCUGCUGCAUGGUGGGGGUUGGAAAGUUUCGGCGGUUGGGGAUGGACUCGCGGCUUAUCAGCUUGUUGGUGGGGUAGUGGCUUACCAAGGCUUUGACGGGUAGCCGGCCUGAGAGGGUGACCGGCCACAUUGGGACUGAGAUACGGCCCAGACUCGUACGGGAGGCAGCAGUGGGGAGUAUUGCACAAUGGGCGGAAGCCUGAUGCAGCGACGCCGCGUGCGGGAUGACGGCCUUCGGGUUGUAAACCGCUUUCGCCUGUGACGAAGCGUGAGUGACGGUAAUGGGUAAAGAAGCACCGGCUAACUACAUG
rnacentral:rRNA from 1 species